GGUGGGUUCUAGGAUUUCAACUCCAGAUUUUGUGUGAGAAGAAAUACAAGAGUGUCUUGUUCCAAUCUUCCACACCACCACCUCCUUGUGUAGCUCCAUCUUCUAAUCUAAAAGAUUCUAGAUGAUCUAAAGGAAGGAGCUUCAAUCAGCCAUCCAAAGCCUUCAGUGUGAGCUAGCACUCUCAGGAAGGACGAUCUGAUCAGGACUUCGAGUGGACGAUCUGUAAAGGUCGGACGAGCUAUGUGACUGCUCGAUAUCAGAAAGAAUCUUGUACCAUGCCUAUUAGUAGUGAUGAUC
rnacentral:lncRNA from 1 species